AAUAUUUUCAACACAUUUUUGUCAUGGUGUUUGCCUCUGCUUUGUGUCCAGUCCUCUUAGUCUUUUAAUCAAGAAUCAAUUUGACCCUCUAUUGUAUUAAAAAAUAAAAAGUGUUUUUUUUUUUUUUAAGAACUUUUGGGGAAUUCUUUGUUUAGACUAAUUUGGAGUCUCAGGUGUGUUAUAAGUCAAAGUAGGACUGGAUCUUAGUGAAUGAGUGUUUAACUUCUGUUGGUUGCAGUACCUAUCAUCAACAAUAGAUGUCAGUGUUGCACUUUUUUUCUCAAUAUAAAAUCUUUCACAAAAUCAUAGUGGUAGGUUUACAGGCUGUCAUCUUUACUUGGUUUAUAAAGACAAAGACAUACUAAUAUUUAGACAUACUUUCACAAAAUAUUAAAUGUUUAACAAGUUGGCAAUUGUGCAGCUUCAAGAUUUGGGGGUAUUAUGUUGAGUAACCCUUAACCUGAUUGAAAAAUCCUUUUUCUUUUCAGUUUUAGAAAUUAUUAAUCUGCAUAAUAAAAUCUGGGAUCUUGAGAAAAAGAACACCAAUUGGACAAAUGAGGAGCUUCAAGCUUUGAAAAAAAGGCUGGAUUCUUUAGUGAAUGAAAUAGACAGUAAUGGUGAAGAUAACACAUUACAGGUACUAAAAAUCUUGACACUGCAGAGUCAGGUGGAGUAUCUACAGAACCAACUGUCCAAUCUCGAGAUAACACACGAUUCCACACAAACUCAACUUCAAAAUGAGCUAGCAGCCAAGGAGAACGAGCUGAAGCGUUACAUCCAUGAAGUGAUGGAGAAAAACCAGACAAAUGGAAAACUUAUUUUGAGCAUCACUGAACUCCAAAUGAAACUCAAAAAAAUUGAAAAACAAAAGGAAACAGAGGAUAAUACAAGUGCUGCAACAAUAUCCAAGCUGACGAACCAGCUGAAGUUCCAAGAAGAGGAAAACAAUCGUAAUAAAGCUUUCAUUAUGACUCUGCAGAACAAGAUAACCCAGACAGAAACCCAAUGUUCUAAAUAUGAACAGAAAAUUAAAGGUAAAAGUUGA
rnacentral:lncRNA from 1 species